ACGGAAGCCAAAGUAUGAACCCAAGUAUAGCUGGAUGACCAAGGAGCCCUCUUCCAUCUGACUGAAUCUCAUCCAAUUUUGAGGGGAGGAGCCUGCAUGGAGAGCAAACUCUGGGGUAAAAUUACAUGAUCUCACUGCCUGAAGGAUACCAGGCUUAGGUGCAGAGUCACAAAAGUACUUGAGAGUUGGAGAGCUUGCCCCUGACCUCUGUCUAUCAUCAUAAAGAAUACACCAUAAGAAGACGUAGUUCAGGAAAUGAAACUAGAGGGCUGCCACACUUUUCAACUUUCUGUCUAUUAAGCAUUACUUCAGAAAGAUUCGGUCAUGUCAGUGAAAAACAAUUCUGAAAUCACGCAAUUACCGAACAGCUCAAGGCAUAUCAUCAACGUACUUGAAAACAAAGGAUUUUCUACUGGCAGUGUGCUUUGCUGUGGCAUCGAUGUAUCUUCUAAGUUGCAGUCACCCUCCAUAGGGCUAUUCACGAAUAUGAUACAUCUUAAACUCUGUAAGUCUUAAAUAGGGAUGUGGGCUUCUCCAAACUUGAUUAAUCACAGGGAUGUAAAAUACUAGAUAUUCAAAAACAUCUCGAAUAACUUAAGAACGUGGUCCUCCAGCCUUGUUUCAGGACACUCAUAUCUUCCAGUCCCUGCUCUGUUCAAUAGCAAUCCCUGAGUUAUGUGAUGAAAGAAAGCAUGUCUGUCACGCUUUGCAACAUUUACGCCACAUGUUACUUGGCAAUAUGGACAUUCAAUAAAUAUUUGAUUAAUUAAA
rnacentral:lncRNA from 1 species